GUUCUCUUCGGCAGCACAUAUCCUAGUAUUGGGGCGAUACGGAGAUUAGCCUGGCCCCUACACAAGGAGGAAAUGCAAAUUCGUGAAGGAUUCUGUGUUUUU